AUGCAUAAGCUCAUAAAUGUUCAUUAUUUGGACAAGACGACAUUUAUGAAUGGAAAUGACGAUGAAGGGGAAGAGGCUAUGGUUUUUGACACAAGUCCAAGAUUUGAUGAUCUUAUAGUGAAAGUGAGAAGCGUCUUACAUUGGAAUGACCCAAAUGCCGAGGUUAAUCUUAUUGGGAGGUAUGACGUUGGAUUGGGAUUAAAGUCCCGAUUAAAGGAUCUGCCCAUCACCUCCCAAUUGCAUUGGAAUGUGUACAAGGACAAAGUAGACGGAUCACAAGACAAGUCUCUUGAGAUAUUUGCCACAAAGGUUGAUCCUCCUCCCUUGCAAAUUGAUUUGAACCGCAAUGCAUCAUCCCCAAUACAUGAUGGUAGUGCCGAGGUGUAUGUCUCCAAUUGUUCUAGCCAACCACCAAGUAGCCAACCCAAAGAAGAUCCUAGCAAUGCUAGCGCCAUAGUACUCCGAAAUGAUGCUAUUCCUCUUGUUUAA
rnacentral:rRNA from 1 species